rnacentral:rRNA from 1 species
AACGAACGCUGGCGGCAUGCCUAACACAUGCAAGUCGAACGGGAUCCGGACUUCGGUUCGGUGAGAGUGGCGGACGGGUGAGUAACGCGUGGGAACCUGCCCAGUGGUGGGGGAUAACUGCGGGAAACUGCAGCUAAUACCGCAUGAGCCCGAGCGGGGAAAGAUUUAUCGCCAUUGGAGGGGCCCGCGUUCGAUUAGGUAGUUGGUGGGGUAACGGCCCACCAAGCCGACGAUCGAUAGCUGGUCUGAGAGGAUGAACAGCCACACUGGGACUGAGAUACGGCCCAGACUCCUACGGGAGGCAGCAGUGGGGAAUAUUGGACAAUGGGGGCAACCCUGAUCCAGCAAUGCCGCGUGAGUGAUGAAGGCCUUCGGGUUGUAAAGCUCUUUUGCCAGGGACGAUGAUGACGGUACCUGGAGAAUAAGCCCCGGCUAACUUCGUGCCAGCCGCCGCAGUAAGAC